rnacentral:lncRNA from 1 species
GCAGGACUUCCAGGAGCUAAUCAAGACCGAGCAUGCACUGCUGGAGGGCUUCAACAUUCGAGAGAGCACUAGCUACAUUGAAGAACACAUAGACCGGCAGGUGUCGCCCAUAGAAAGCCUACGCCUCAUGUGCCUUUUGUCCAUCACUGAGAAUGGUUUGAUUCCCAAGGAUUAUCGGUCCCUGAAAACACAGUAUCUGCAGAGCUACGGCCCCGAGCACCUGCUAACCUUCUCCAACCUUCGGAGAGCCGGGCUUCUAACAGAGCAGGCUUCGGGGGACACCCUCACUGCAGUAGAGAAUAAAGUGAGCAAGCUGGUGACUGACAAGGCCGCAGAUUUCUUCCCCAGGAAAAAUCACUGAUGCCUUCAGUUCUCUGGCCAAGAGGAGCAAUUUUCGUGCCAUCAGCAAAAAGCUGAAUUUGAUCCCACGUGUAGAUGGGGAGUAUGACCUGAAAGUGCCCCGGGACAUGGCUUACGUCUUCAGUGGCGCCUACGUG